rnacentral:rRNA from 1 species
UACGUAGGGUGCAAGCGUUAAUCGGAAUUACUGGGCGUAAAGGGUUCGUAGGUGGCCAACUCAGUCAGACGUGAAAUCCCUCAGCUCAACUGGGGAGCUGCGUCUGAUACUAGAUGGCUCGAGUGCAGGAGAGGAACGCGGAAUUCCAGGUGUAGCGGUGAAAUGCGUAGAUAUCUGGAGGAACACCGGUGGCGAAGGCGGCGUUCUGGACUGCAACUGACACUGAGGAACGAAAGCCAGGGGAGCAAACGGG